GGGGGCGAUCGGCUUUGACGGGACGAUUGAAAUGAAAGAGGGCAUACCGAGGGUUCUGGCCACCUCGUUAAUCCGACCCGAGAACAAAAAAUCCUGAAAAUGGAUACGCUCUAGCUGCAUAAUAAAAUGUAGCUGCGUCUGCCUGAGUGAUCAGCCCAGCUCAGGGUCAGGCGUCAUAUAGGGCUGAAACCUAUCAAUUCUUGCCUUUAGGGUUGAUAGGAUAUUUGAAAAGGCUUUCUCUUGCAGACCUGUCUUUUGGUGACGCGAGAGGAGAAACAUAAAGAGACUAAGUAUGUAGUCCUCUUCGUUGAAACGCCUCGGACGCGGGUUCAAUUCCCGCCGCCUCCACCA
rnacentral:tmRNA from 1 species